UACGGGGGGUGCGAGCGUUGUCCGGAAUCACUGGGCGUAAAGGGCGCGUAGGUGGCGUCGUAAGUCUGUGGUGAAAGCCCGGAGCUCAACUCCGGGUCUGCCGCGGAUACUGCGAGGCUUGAGAUGCCUAGAGGAGAGUGGAAUUCCCGGUGUAGUGGUGGAAUGCGUAGAUAUCGGGAGGAACACCAGUGGCAAAAGCGGCUCUCUGGGGGCGAUCUGACGCUGAUGCGCGAAAGCGUGGGGAGCAAACCGG
rnacentral:rRNA from 1 species